ACUGCUCAGUAACACGUGGACAACCUACCCUGAAGAGGGGGAUAACCCCGGGAAACUGGGGAUAAUACCCCAUAGACUAUGGAUGCUGGAAUGCUCUGUAGUUCAAAGGUCCGCCGCUUCAGGAUGGGUCUGCGGCCGAUUAGGUUGUUGUUGGGGUAACGGCCCAACAAGCCUGUAAUCGGUACGGGUUGUGGGAGCAAGAGCCCGGAGAUGGAUUCUGAGACACGAAUCCAGGCCCUACGGGGCGCAGCAGGCGCGAAAACUUUGCAAUGCGAGAAAUCGUGACAAGGGAACUCCGAGUGCCUGUAAAAUCAGGCUGUCCGCCAGUGUAAACAACUGGUGAAGAAAGGGCCGGGCAAGACCGGUGCCAGCCGCCGCGGUAAUACCGGCGGCUCGAGUGGUGGCCACUAUUACUGGGCUUAAAGCGUUCGUAGCUGGUCUGUUAAGUCUCUGGGGAAAUCUUCCGGCUUAACCGGAAGGCGUCUCAGGGAUACUGGCAGACUAGGGACCGGAAGAGGUGAGAGGUACUCCAGGGGUAGGAGUGAAAUCCUGUAAUCCUUGGGGGACCACCUGUGGCGAAGGCGUCUCACCAGGACGGCUCCGACAGUGAGGAACGAAAGCUGGGGGAGCAAACCGGAUUAGAUACCCGGGUAGUCCCAGCUGUAAACGAUGCGCGUUAGGUGUAUCGGUGACCACGAGUCACCGAGGUGCCGAAGAGAAAUCGUGAAACGCGCCGCCUGGGAAGUACAGUCGCAAGGCUGAAACUUAAAGGAAUUGGCGGGGGAGCAC
rnacentral:rRNA from 1 species